rnacentral:rRNA from 1 species
GACGAACGCUGGCGGCGUGCUUAACACAUGCAAGUCGAACGAAGAGCGAUGGCUGCUUGCUUCUAUCAAUCUUAGUGGCGAACGGGUGAGUAACGCGUAAUCAACCUGCCCUUCAGAGGGGGCCUACAGUUGGAAACGACUGCUCAUACCGCAUACGAUCGAAUCUCGGCAUCGGUACUGGAUGAAAGGUGGCCUCUAUUUAUAAGCUAUCACUGCAGGAGGGGAUUGCGGCUGAUUAGCAAGUUGGAGGGGUAACGUCCCACCAAGGCGAUGAUCAGGAGCCGGACGGAGAGGAUGAACGGCCACAUUGGGACGGUGACACGGCCCAGACGCCUACAGGAAGCAGCAAGAGGGAAACGUCCGCAAGGGGCGGAAGACUGACGGAACAACGCCGCAGGAUGGAGGACGGCCGUCGGGUUGGAAAUGUCGGUUAAUCGGGACGAAUGGGUUUUGUGCUAAUAGGGCGAGGAUUUGACGGUACCGGAAGAAAAAGCCACGGCUAACUACGUG